rnacentral:rRNA from 1 species
AUGAAAACACCACACAGUCUACGCUCCCUUAAGGAGCAAAAGAGACAAAGAGCGGAAAGACCACACCCAGUACAGGCUACAACCAGCAAACAUAUUUCAGAGUUUAAGGAUCACGCCCAUGUCUUCAGAGCGAAAAGCCACCCCCGAAGCAAGGAGUCCUUCCACCGCACUGGUUCAGUCCUAGCCAGGGUCUGGCCAAAGGAGAAGAGGCGGUGCUCGCGCCAAAUGCUCCAUCCUUUGUACCAGGAGACGACAUCUCCUCUGGAUUGUAUCCGCACACUUGAUCUCCCACAAGGUUAA